CAAAGUUUCUUUAUUCUUUUUACAUUCAUGAAGGUUUUUAACAUGUGGAACUAAACUUCUGUAUCUUUGGACUUCAUCACAUACAAAUUCUGUUCCUGGAACAGUUCCCAAAAAAGGAUAUGUCAUGGAAAGAAUAGUGCUACAGGUUGAUUUUCCUUCUCCUGCAUUUGAUAUUAUUUANAAAA